UUUUUAUUAUACAAAGUUAUAAAAAAAGGUUGAUUCUAGUUUGGACCCUAAGAGUUUCUCAACAGACCCAUUUUUUAUUUGGGUAAAUUUAAUUGAUAUCCUGAGAGUUUAGAUAAUUACAACCACUCUCUUAGUUUCUAAAAUAAUUGAUUUUUUUUUAUUCUUAAAACUAUUAUCAAGAUUCUCCAUUGUAUUUAAUUUUUUGACAAAAAUAACAAGAUUGCUCUUAAAUUUAAGUGUUCUAAUUUUUUGCCCUUAAAGACACAAAUUAAAAUUAAUAAACAUUCUUCUUUUUUUUCUUCUAAAAACACUUUUAUUUGUUCAUUACUCAAUUUUUAUUUUUUAUUAAUAAGCAUUUUUUAAAACAAUCGAUAUAUAUAUUUUUUACUUUUGAAGUUAUCUUAAUCAAAGCAUAUUGAAAAAAUAAAUCUCUCUGUAUCAAAAUUCAUUACAAAAUAAAGACAAUCUUAAGAAUAAAUAUGAAAACCUAAAAAUAAGAGUAAUCGCCGGAGAUUUGCUCCAUAUUUUGGUCUACUUGGACAAUCAAGUGGCCUGUUAUAUUAUAUAUGAUGCUGAUCGAGUCAGAAAAGUUGUGGAGUGAAAGACACAAAAAUACUUGUCGUGUUGUUUUGUUUUUUUUUGUAAGAAAGGUAUCGGAAUAAAGUAAGUGUAAAUUGCAAAAUAUAUAUAUAUAUAUAUAUAUAUUAAAAAAUAUAAAUUAUUCACUGCCCAGUAAAUGGUGGUUAGCAAUACUGUAAAACUAUAUGGCAUAAUCUAUUUUUAUAAAGAUUUAUAGCCUUCCUAAAUGAAAACCCCGUUGGCCCAGCUAAAAAAUCUUAAUUUUUUUUAAUUUUGGUUAAAAUGUGAAAAUAAAAUAAAAAAUCAAACAUUUCUUGUUUAACUAAUAAAAAAUUCGCUAAUAACUAUCGUGUUUACUAAAAUGUCUUUUGGAAACCGACUAUUAAAAAUUAAGUUAAAAAAUUACCUGUCCAACGAAAAAACUCAAGCCAAACAUGCCAAAACCAGACUCUCGUAACUAAAACACAACUAAAAAAAUUAAGGGACACGAGCUUAAUAAUCUAAAUUAAUAACAUUAUUUACCUUACACUUAAGCCGUGACGAAAAAUAGAGUAGGGUAUAGCUAAUUCUAGGAAGACGGCUGUACACAGUACAAGUCAAAGAAAAAGACUCCCUCAGUUGGGCGUAUCAAAUUAUCAAUUUCCAAUUGUGCCUCGCAAUAGUGUGACCUAGAUUAAAGAAUUUAAGACCAUUUAUACCUGAAAGUUUCCAAAUUCCACAUGAGCCAUCAACGAAACAUCCAAACUCUCUUUUGGCCCAGAGAAAUUACAAAAAGUUGGACCACAUGUCUGACUUAGUGGACAAAAAUGUAAUUUCCAAAUAAAUCAUUACUAAAAUGUCCCUCUCAUUUGUGUAAAAAGGAAAUAUUAAAUAAAUUGGGAUGAGGACCGCCGCGCCGCACCACACCGUAGGCCAUGACGUCUGUUAUAAAUAGUGGGUCGGCCGACGAAAAUAUCUAGAAAAUUAUUUUAUUUAAUAAUUUUAGCUUUUUUAAUUGGUCGAUGAGGGGUAAUGGAUUUGAGAAAUGAUGGAAGGAAAAUAGAAGAUAGAUAACUACGGUGGUCUUGCGAUGGCGAUGGGAGCUAGCACCGGUCAAUAGUGCGGCAAUGCCUUAGUUCCAGCAUAGAGACAAUGAGAUCAGCCGCUGGAGUUGUUUUUGAAAAACGGUUCUCCGACGGUCAAGUUAGAUGAUUGAAAAAAAUGUAUGUAGAGAGAGAAAUUAUAUGUUCUUGAAAGCUAAAAACGUGUACCUUUGUAAGAACCUCCAUUCUCCUUAUAUAACAUAACUCGGCGCAUACCUUAACGCACCAACGACCAUGUUAGUAGGUAGGUGGCUGACACAACCAUGUCUCUGUGGCGUAAUCGGUAGCCCGUCAUCAUGUGCCGACGUCUCCAUCUGGGUAUGAGGGUGUCAGAAGAAAUUUCGACGUGCAAGUCACCUUCUAUCCUCUGAUACCCUUGUGGUUGUCCUGCAACUACCUCUCGCCCGAGCUAUAACGCAGUUAUAUCCAAACUUGCUAAAUAGCGACAAUCCGAAGGUACGAUGACCUUAUAUCGGACAGUGUCAGUGAUCAGUAAUGUCUAGACCAAGUUCCGGUUGUAGAGAACCAUUGAGCUUGCUCCAUAGCGAUAGUUGCGCGGAAGCUUCUUCUGUUAUAGCAAGGCCAUAUUUUGUCAUUUAUGUUUUUGCUCCUUACAGUCGAUAUGUUUAUUUAAGUUAAUUGUGAUUUACGUGACACAUGAUUAUCAUGUCUCAGAAAAUAUAUAAAUUACCCUUUAAGAAGAAGAGAAAAAAGUAGUAGUGUAACUGUAUGGAGGAACAAUUCUAGUACUGUAUGGAGGGACAAUUCUAGUAUUUAAUCAAAAGUGUUAAGGGCUUUAUUUCCUUUCCUUUUGCAGCUUUUGUAUGGUAUAGUAUUUGAUUGAGAAAAUCCCGAACCUAAUGAUGGAAAAGCAAAGUAGAAGCAAGUUAAUUUAUGCGUAGAUGGACAAUUUUGAUAAUUGAUAAAAAUAUUAAAGAAUUUAUAUGAAUUUUGUAUAAUAAAUUAAAAAUUAAAUAGAUUUAAUAAAAAGCUGAGUAUAUAGGGACACGAGCUUAAUAAUCUAAAUUAAUAACAUUAUUUACCUUGGUACAGCUAAUUCUAGGAAGACGGCUGUACCAGUACCAGCCAAAGAAAAAGGCUCCUUCAGUUGGGAGUACCAGUUUCCAAAUUUGCCUCACAAUUCACAUAGUGUGGCCUAGAUUAAGACAAUUUAUACCCGAAAGUUUCCAAUUCCACAUGAGCCAUCAACGAAACAUCCAAACUCUCUCGUGGCACAGAGAAAUACAAAAAUUUGGCCUCCAUGUCACUGACUUUGUGGACAAAAUGUAAAAUCAUUACUAAAAUGUCCCUCUCAUUGGGUAAAAAAGAAAUAUCAAAUAAAUUGGGAUAAGGACCGCCAACAAAAAUAUAUAGAAAAUUAUUUUAUUUAAUAAAUUUUAGCUUUAUUAGUUGGUUGAUAUAUUAUUUAAGUUAAUUGCGAUUUAUCGUGUCAUGUAAAUAUCUAAAUUACCCUUUAAGAAGAAGAGAAAAAAGUAGUAACGUAACUGUAUGAAGAGGGACAAUUCUAGUAUUUAAUCAAAAGUAUCUAUGGGAUUUAUUUUCUUCCUUUUGCAGCCUUUGUAUGGUAGUAUUUGAUUGAGAAAAUCCCGAACCUAAUGCGGGGAAAAGCAAGUAGAAGCAAUUAAUAUGCGUCGAUGGACAAUUUUGAUAAUUGACAAAAAUAUUAAGGAAUUUAUUUGAAUUGUAUAAUAAAAAUAAAAAAUUAAAUAUAUUUAAUGAAAAGUUGAGUACAUAGAUGACUUCUCUUUUCGAAUUCACCAUACCUUCAUUUACAAAUUAUAAAAUGUUCGUACUUACACAUAUGGGGAGAAUUGGUAAAAUAUACUGAAUCCAAUUAAGGCAACGUUUGCCUAGUUGUUUUUAGAUUUUCAUCUAUUUUAUUUUUUUACAUUAACAAACUUUUUUUUAUCGUUUAAUUAGAAAUUUAUAAUUUUUCGAUUAUUUUGAUGAGUGUAAUCUAAAAUAUAAAAAAAAUCAUAUAAUUUGAAUAAAAGUUCAAAAAUAAAUAAAGACAAAAAAAUAUUUUUACUUGGCAAUUAGCUAUUUUUUUUGUAUUCCGUAGAUUUUUUUGGAAUUUGAAUAAAAAGCUUAUUUAUUAAAUGAAAGUACAAAAAUUUAUUAAGUUCAUUAAAAAUCGAACAAGUUUUAAAACAAAAACGUUAAUUUUUUUUUUAAAAAAACCGCAACCUUAAAUCACUUUGGCCAAGUGAUAAUAUUCGACUACGUGGCAUUGCUUUUUAUAACCCAAGUGGCAGUGUGCACUGGUGCUGAGGAUGAGAACGAGAGUGACACGUCGGAUUAAGGCCAGUGGCUUCUCUAAAAGCCGCUUUUGCUUUUUAAUUCCGGCCUUAGCUGUCCUGACGGGCUGCUUUAUCCAUUCCGCAUCAGCUCCCUAAAAAAUACAGGGAUCCAAACAGAAACCCCGAAAAAAGAAGGGGCAUAUCUGGAAACAUAAAAAAAGCUCAGCACCCACACGUUCCCAACUUUCCAGCGAAUUGAAAGCGUUUUUUGUAGGUCACAUAAAAGUUUAAUGGAGAUUACUAAAAAAAACUUUCGAGUUUGAUUUUAGUAACAAAUUAAUAAAUUAAAUUUUAAAUUUUGAUUCGAUCAUAAUUAAAAUAUUUCGUCAAUCUAUAUUUCAUUAGGAUUGCUGAAACCAAAUGAUUCUUGCCAAAAAUGUUAAAAUGCCAUUUUUUUAAAAUUAUCACAUUUUAAAAGCCUAAAUCAAUGUAAUUAUGAUCAUCAUUUAAGUUAAAAUUUAUGUAAUUAGAAUAUACUUUUAAGUUAAAUAUUUAAAUUAUUUUUUAGAAUUUACUUGAAAAUGAGCCAUAAUUGCAUCAUUAGGGAGGGUGUUAAUGUUAAAAUUUUCCUUUAUCUAAUUAUUUGCAUGAAUUUAUUUGUUCUAUCAACUCUGAUAAAUGAAGAUUCACGGAGGGAUUUAAUUGUGAUCAGAUUACAAUUUUAGAUUUAAUUUGUUAUAAUUUAAAUUAUAGGGAUUAAUUUGUUACUGAGCUCAAAUCUUGGGUAUUUUCUGUAGUUUUCCCAACGUUUAGAAACGCUGACCAGUGACCAUGGAAGCGAGUGGUUUACACAAUCCACAGUGCGAGUGGUUAUUAGGAGAAGAGAAGUUGCAAAUAUUUUGGGAUGUUUUAACGUUUUGUCUAUAAAGGCGGGGACAACCUUCUCAGUCGCGUCCCAAGAAGACUCUUAAACGACUCUUUACAAA
rnacentral:lncRNA from 1 species